rnacentral:tRNA from 1 species
GGGGCAUUAGCUCAAUUGGUAGAGCGCCGCCUUUGCAAGGCGGAGGUCAGGGGUUCGAUUCCCCUAUGCUCCACAA